rnacentral:piRNA from 1 species
UAGCAGGUUCCUGUCCCCUGAGGUC